rnacentral:tRNA from 1 species
GAGGGUGUCGCUCGGUGGUAGAGAGUGUGCUUAGCAUGCACGCGGUCCUGGGUUCAAUCCCCAGUGCCUCCU